rnacentral:rRNA from 1 species
GACGUAGGGCGCGAGCGUUGUCCGGAUUUAUUGGGCGUAAAGAGCUCGUAGGCGGCUUGUCGCGUCGACUGUGAAAACCCGCGGCUCAACUGCGGGCCUGCAGCCGAUACGGGCAGGCUAGAGUUCGGUAGGGGAGACUGGAAUUCCUGGUGUAGCGGUGAAAUGCGCAGAUAUCAGGAAGAACACCCGUGGCGAAAGCGGCUCUCUGGAACGGUACUGACGCUGAGACGCGAAAGCGUGGGGAGCGAACAGG